ACGGGUGAGUAACGCGUAGGAAUCUACCUGGUAGUGGGGGACAACGUCUCGAAAGGGACGCUAAUACCGCAUACGCCCUACGGGGGAAAGGGGGGGAUCUUCGGACCUUUCGCUAUCAGAUGAGCCUGCGUCGGAUUAGCUAGUUGGUGAGGUAAAGGCUCACCAAGGCGACGAUCCGUAGCUGGUCUGAGAGGAUGAUCAGCCACACCGGAACUGAGACACGGUCCGGACUCCUACGGGAGGCAGCAGUGGGGAAUAUUGGACAAUGGGGGCAACCCUGAUCCAGCCAUGCCGCGUGUGUGAAGAAGGCCUUCGGGUUGUAAAGCACUUUAGGGGGGGAGGAAGGUCCCAAAGCGAAUACCUUUGGGAAUUGACGUUACCCCCAGAAUAAACACCGGCUAACUCCGUGCCAGCAGCCGCGGUAAUACGGAGGGUGCAAGCGUUAAUCGGAAUUACUGGGCGUAAAGCGCGCGUAGGCGGUUAGAUAAGUCGAUUGUGAAAUCCCCGGGCUCAACCUGGGAAUUGCAGUCGAGACUGUCUGACUAGAGUGUGGGAGAGGGUGGUGGAAUUCCCGGUGUAGCGGUGAAAUGCGU
rnacentral:rRNA from 1 species